AGAGUUUGAUCAUAGCUCAGGAUGAACGCUAGCGGUGCGCCUAACACAUGCAAGUCGAGCGAUGAAGUUUUCUACACAGAGCAGAAAAACAAUAUACCUUUUCUCUUCUCUGUGUAGAAAAUAGAUUAGCGGCAAACGGGUGCGUAACACGUUGAUACUUCCCCCUAAGUCAGGGAUAGCCUGGAGAAAUCCAGAUUAAUACCGGAUAGUCCCGAAAGGGUAAAGCAGCAAUGCGCUCAGGGAAAGGUCUGCGGCCUAUCAGCUAGUUGGUGAGGUAAUAGCUCACCAAGGCAAUGACGGGUAGCUGGUCUGAGAGGACGGCCAGCCACAAUGGGACUGAGACACGGCCCAUACUCCUACGGGAGGCAGCAGUGAGGAAUCUUCCACAAUGGGCGAAAGCCUGAUGGAGCGACACCGCGUGAAGGAUGAAGCCUUUGUUGGUGUAAACUUCUUUUCUCUUGGAAGAUAAUGACGGUACAAGAGGAAUAAGGGGCGGCAAACUUCGUGCCAGCAGCCGCGGUAAUACGAGGGCCCCAAGCGUUAUCCGGAAUUACUGGGCGUAAAGCGUCUGUAGGUGGUUUUUUAAGUUUCGUAUGAAACUCCAGGGCUCAACCCUGGAUUGUGCGAAAAACUGGGGAACUUGAGUGUGGGAGAGGCAAGCAGAACGGUAUGAGUAGGGGUGCAAUCCGUUGAUACAUACCAGAAUACCAAAAGCGAAGGCAGCUUGCUGGAACACUACUGACACUGAGAGACGAAAGCGUGGGGAGCGAAAGGGAUUAGAUACCCCUGUAGUCCACGCCCUAAACGAUGGAUGCUAGGUGUUGGACGUAAGUUCAGUGCUCAAGCUAACGCAUUAAGCAUCCCGCCUGAGGAGUACGGCCGCAAGGUUAAAACUCAAAUGAAUAGACGGGGACCCGCACAAGCAGUGGAUCAUGUGGUUUAAUUCGACAAUAAACGAGGAACCUCACCUAGGCUUGACAUUGAUAGAAUCCACCAGAAAUGGAGGAGUGCCCGCAAGGGAGCUUGAAAACAGGCGCUGCAUGGUUGUCGUCAGCUCGUGCCUUGAGGUGUUCGGUUAAGUCCGUUAAC
rnacentral:rRNA from 1 species